UGCAAAGGUAGCAUAAUCAUUAGUCUUUUAAUAGAAGGCUGGUAUGAAAGGUUUGACGAAGUGUUAGCUGUCUCAUUUAAUUUAAUACUAGAAUUUAAUUUUUUAGUCAGAAAGCUAAAAAUUUUGUUGGUAGACGAGAAGACCCUAUAGAGUUUUAUAAUUUAUUUUAUAUAUUUCAUAUAAUUUUUUAUAUAAUCUAUAUUAUUUUGUUGGGGUGACAAAAAUAUAUAAUUAACUUUUUUAUUUAUCUAUCAUUGAUUUAUGUAUACUAGAUCCAGUCUUAUUGAUUGUUAGAACAAGUUACCUUAGGGAUAACAGCGUAAUCUUCCUUGGGAGCUCUUAUUUGCAGGAAGGCUUGCGACCUCGAUGUUGGAUUAAGAUAAUAGUUAGGUGCAGUAGCUUAAUGUAUAGGUCUGUUCGACCUUUAAAUUCUUA
rnacentral:rRNA from 1 species